UUUGUAAAAGAGGAAGCCAAGGGGGAGGAGGGAAGUAGAGCCCUCCCAAACACCCCACAUCUAUUUCCUCCUCUCCUCUGUGCACUCGGUUUCUGACAUGCCCAGUCUAACUUCAGCGUCUUAGACACAGCGAUGGAAGGGCAGACUAGGAGCAUAGGAGGAAAAGAAGAGGAAUUCAGCCAAAUUUUAGCUGCUGUGUUUCCUGCUUGAACAAAACACAUUUAUUGAAAAACUACAGGGAAAAAACUGCAGAACAGAGCAGUUGUGGAAACAAAAUUUCUUCACUGAAAAAUCUAAGAAGUCAUUUUGUCUCCGGAAGACUCAGUUCCAAAUAAGAAAAGGUACAUGGAGUAGAUUAUCACCAUUAAUGCAGCAACUGUAGCUGGGUGCAAUUCCAUAACAAAGUAAUAAUUUCAGAUAAAUGAAUAUAAUUCUCCCAAAGGAAGCAGAAGGAUAAAGUAAAAUUAGAUACUUCUAAAGGAAAUUUAUUAUUUUAUUGUGCCUCUUUUUUCAAAGUUUUUGCUAAAACCAAGUGGAUUGCAAGAUGCUCUUCUCCCUGUCUCAGAGAUUAAAC
rnacentral:lncRNA from 1 species